rnacentral:rRNA from 1 species
GACGAACCGUGCGAACGUUGUUCGGAUUCACUGGGCUUAAAGCGCGUGUAGGCGGCUUUGCAAGUCGGGUGUGAAAGCCCUCGGCUCAACCGAGGAAGUGCGCCCGAAACUGCAGAGCUUGAGUACCGGAGAGGGUGGCGGAAUUCCCCAAGUAGAGGUGAAAUUCGUAGAUAUGGGGAGGAACACCGGUGGCGAAGGCGGCCACCUGGACGGAUACUGACGCUGAGACGCGAAAGCGUGGGGAGCAAACAGG